rnacentral:lncRNA from 1 species
UCUGGGUCAACUUAUAAUGCAGUUAUUGAGUUUUGCACAAUUUUGAUUUGCACUUGCAUCAUUUAGAAUAUAGCACAACUCUUCACUCUUUUUUUUUAUUUUAACCAUUUUCUGAAUAAAUAAUUUUGUGUUUGCAUUAUGAAUGGUGGUGGAUGUACGUCAUUAAUUGAUAUAUUCAGAAUAGUGUGGGAGAAAGUUGCAUGUACAGGUCUGAAAAAACUUAGUAUCUCUCCUCUCUAAGACAGAGAGAGGAAGGCUAUAAUUGCAUUCAUCUUGUCUGUCUGUUCUUCAAAAACAAAUAUUUCCCUCAUAUCUUUCUCCGCUACUGCCAAACAAAAUGAAUUUAUAUUUAAUCAGUCACUUAACAAUUAUGAUUUGUAACAUGUGAACACUGUUUGAAUCUUUUACAGCUAAUUUCCUAAUAAAUGCAGAGUAAAACUUUGGUAGGCUUGCUUGCUCUGUAUGUAUAAAUGUUAAUUCAAGCUUUCUAAUUAAAAUUACAACAAAUGGAAGUUGUUAACGACCUCGACUGGCUAUACAGCCCUUGCACAGUAGGGACUUUUUAGCCUAAUUAACAUUGACAUCUUGAAUCAGUAUAUAUAGGCAUAUUUUACCCAUAUAUAUUACGGUAUGUUAAAUUUAAUUGGAGGUUAUCCCAAUUACAAUUGAACAAUAUACAAACAUAACAAGCAAGAUAACCAAAGUCUUGCUUUACAUGCAUUAGGAAAUUAGCUGUAAACAACAACUCCCUGUUUGCUGAUACUUUGAAGUUUUCAAUAUGUUAAGUACAAAAAGUUAUCAAAUAAUUUUGUCCUCAUACAGAAAUUUGUGAGUUGUAAUGUGUGCAAGCUUAUUGUGUCUGUCAGACACUCAAUUUGUGUGUUUUUAAGAUACUUUGAAAUAUUAAUGGUAUGCUUAGCAAGACAAUGCAAGCAUUGUUGAAAAAUUUACUCUUCUUUGUAAAACUGUCAAAAUGAGAGAUACCUGGUAAUUUAUUUUUAUUGUCUUAUAAUAUUUAUUAAUUGCAUAUUUUGUGUAAUAUUUAUUAGAACCAACUGCAAUAAUAACAAGAACUAUCUUUAAAAAAGAUAUCCGACGUAUUUAAAUUUGAGUAUAUGUUUAAAGCUAUCAUUUCGAUAACCUUCAGAAGCACAAAAAUACCAUUUAAAUAACGUUUUCUCUGUUUGUGUUCAGUAUUCUCGGUCCUCGUAUCUUUCUGUUUACAUUCACCAAAACCCCCGCGGAAAUCUCACAUGCGUAGGUGCGUUCUAAAAGUCAUGUACGUUCGUACAACAAAGUUUACAUUAAAAAUUAUAUAAUUGUCCCGAAUAAACAGCUGUAAUGGAUGCAAAGAGCUUUUGGAGAAACAAUUAUUUUAAUAAAAAUAUAAAUCUUUGUAAGAUCUAGUUCAAAUAUUUAUAGUUUUUCACUUGCUUUCAUCACGAUAUAAUUAACGAGACGUUUUUUCAAACACAACCAAAUCACCCACCACGACAGCAUUUUGUCCAAUCACAGAAAGGAUUUUUGAGCAUGCGUAUUCUGUUGCCAAAGUUACGCAUCCUUAAGUUCAAAGGGCACAAACCGAAACUAUACCGACUACGUCGGAAAAACCAUUGAAAGGUAUAAUCUAUAUGAAAUUACAUUGCUUUUGUAUUAUGAAUGAUUUUAUAUAACAAUGACAUGUUGUGUACUUAAUUUUUUUCUAUAUAUUAUGGGUUCUCAAAUUUAGUUUAGAGUGUACAGGACAUACACCCCCUCCUUUCAAUGGAAAAAUACCUAAUGAGACACCAAUUACAACUUAAAAGAAAAGAAAAAAAAAACAAUGAGAAUCUCACAUUAAAAGGAAAAUCUGAAAGGCUGACCAUCUUAAUAUUUAUUUUUUUAUGUUUAUAGUUAUAAUCUUAAUUAUCAUAACAAAUUAUCUAUUUGUUCUCAGUGACUAAAAUUAUAUACGUCAGUACUAGAAAACCCUCCUUUUUCUCGCAAUGUACUUACGGUAAUAAUAUAUAAAACAACUAAUGGUGGGUGAUCAAUUGUAUUUUCACUUUUAUGUAUCUGAUAGCCGUCUCUUGUUAUGCAUCUGUCCUAAAUCUUCAACUUUCUAAAAUAAUCAGUUAGAAAAUAUAUUUUAGAUUGGAAAUCACUAUUUUUUAUCAGAAUUAUAUCCUACUUUUAACGGUGGUGUGAAAAUUCCAAUAUGCAGAU